AUUGAACGCUGGCGGCAGGCCUAACACAUGCAAGUCGAGCGCGCGGCGGACGGGUGAGUAAUGUCUGGGACACUGCCUGAUGGAGUGGGAUAACUACUGGAACCGGUAGCUAAUACCGCAUACCAUACGAUGUGCCCAGAUGGGAUUAGCUAGUAGGUGGGGUAACGGCUCACCUAGGCGACGAUCCCUAGCUGGUCUGAGAGGAUGACCAGCCACACUGGAACUGAGACACGGUCCAGACUCCUACGGGAGGCAGCAGUGGGGAAUAUUGCACAAGGGGCGCAAGCCUGAUGCAGCCAUGCCGCGGGUGGGAAGAAGGCCUUCGGGUUGUAAAGCACUUUAAGCGGGGAGGCGUUACCCGCAGAAGAAGCACCGGCUAACGCCGUGCCAGCAGCCGCGGUAAUUC
rnacentral:rRNA from 1 species